UAAUUUCCCCAGCAGGUUUGGCUGAAGAUAUUAAAAAAUAGUAUAAAUUGUUAUCAUCGCAGUCUGCUAGAACAUAUCUGAACCUUGGCUCCGAUCUGACCUGAAGCUGUGUUCUCUGGAUGCUGGUUUCCUCUUAUGCACAGCUGGCUGUCAGAGUCAAGAGAGACUUUUGGGAGCAGCCUGGAAGUAGAACUUACUUUGGACAACAGAGAUUGAAGACAAAAAGGGCUUGGGAAAACAGCUGAGCACCUGAAGGAGACGCCAAACGAAGGGACACUACCAAGAUGCUGAAAGUUCUUGACCAUGGUGAGGAUGUAUCUGUGUCUCCACGAUAUCCAGUGCUCUGGGAAUCUCUUUCUUUCAGCUUCUGAAAGGAGCUGGGUGCCAAGAUCAGCAAAAAAAGCACCUGUAGGUUAGCCAUGGCCUUGGAUAAAUCAUGAGAUGUAACCCUUACAUGGCCUUGCUUGCUUGGCUGGCUAUUGGGGCGGUGGCACUGGAGUUGCACGUCAUGCUUUGCUCCCCGGUGCCAGAACCAGAGGGAUAUGGAUCACUUUCGUUACACCAACAAAGUUAGUGAAUUAUCUCUCUGGGUACUGAGAAUGAAAGCACAGAUAAGACAGACCAUUGCACAGGCAGGAAGACAAUGUCUAGCACCUCUGUAUACAUGGAGAGAAGUUCCCCUGCUGACUUCUGUACCCUGGGGCUUGAAAGUAGUUAGUUUUAAUAAUUUUGUGUGAAGCCCAUGAAGACACCAGAGUGAUAUAAAUUAUUGUCCCAUCCACCCAGCCCCUGACCAACGAGCAGGUCUAACAGAGCUGAUGAACGCCAGGAGAAACAGACAUCCAUGGGGAAGAUUAACAAAUGAAGAGUGAUCUUCAUCCAAGAGGAACCUCUAACACUGUCUUUUUAUGAAAGAGCUAUGGGACUAGAGGUCUUGAUUUACAUAGUGAGACUCGUAUGACAAUAACUAGACAAGGAAAUAAAAAAAACCAACCGGAACAUUUCAAGAAAGAUCAGUGUUUGCUUUCAUCUCACCAGAGUGCUAGCCUUGCGAUUAGCUGUGACGUUUUCCUGUUUUCAGACUAAUGAGUAUGUUAAACUGUUUCGUAUGUAAUUUCUGGCACCAUGUCAGCUUCUUAAGAUCACUUGAAAGGGAGAUCAGUGGGAAGAAUGCCACAGCAGAUCUUGGAAAAUAACUGUAAGUCUCUCUCUUGUUUUUCCUCUCCUCCAGCCUUCGCACACUCCCACAAGAAUCCUGGCUGGCAAAGGAGACACAGGACUGUUAAACUUGAGGCAAUGCCAGCCACGUGCUUUAUGAGCGGGUCGCGCUUUGUGGUGUGAGGUGCUCGCCUCAGUGCUGGAGUCACACACAUCCUCGUCUGGGCCUGCUAAGUCCCCGGCGGCAUCUCUGUUGUCCUAUGGCUGUUUGCUUUGCUGUGAUAUCUGUGCUUUCAGGUGCUCUAUUUGUGUUGCAACUUGUUUGGUUGGUUUUUUUUUUUUUUUUCCCCUCUCUUCCCCUGCAGCUCUGUUAGCAAAAGAAAUCUACCAGCACUUCAUCACGUUUUCUUUCUUCCAUGGCAAAUAUAUAUAAAUAAAUAAAUCUUUGUCAAGGGAACUCUAAUGGUAUGCUCCUAUGUGGAUAAUUAUUACGUUCCUGUCAGCAAAAGGUUAUAAAAAUUUUUCUUUUGGGAAAAUGCAGUAGAGACUUUUUUACUGGCAGGCAAAUAUUGUACAGAU